GUGCAGCAGGCGCGAAACUUUACAAUGUGCGAAAGCACGAUAAGGGAACUCUGAGUGCCUCCUAAGGAGGCUGUUCUGAUGUCUAAAAAGCAACAGAAGUAAGGGCUGGGUAAGACCGGUGCCAGCCGCCGCGGUAACACCGGCAGCCCAAGUGGUAGCCACGUUUAUUGGGUCUAAAGCGUUCGUAGCCGGCCAGGUAAGUUCCUUGGUAAAUUUAGCCGCUUAACGGUUAAGCUUUCAGGGAAUACUGCUUGGCUUGGGACUGGGAGAGGUCAGAGGUACUCCGGGGGUAGGGGUGAAAUCUAUUAAUCCCUGGGGGACCGCCGGUAGCGAAGGCGUCUGACCAGACCAGGUCCGACGGUGAGGGACGAAGGCUAGGGGCGCGAACCGGAUUAGAUACCCGGGUAGU
rnacentral:rRNA from 1 species